UGGUCAAGUUAUUAAGGGUGCAGGGCGGAUGCCUUGGCACUAGGAGCCGAUGAAGGACGUGAUAAGCUGCGAUAAGCUUCGGGGAGUUGCACGUAAACUUUGAUCCGAAGAUUUCCGAAUGAGGAAACUCACUUAGAGUAAUGUCUAAGUAUCAUUAAGUGAAUACAUAGCUUAAUGAGGGGAACUCAGGGAACUGAAACAUCUAAGUACCUGAAGGAAGAGAAAGAAAUUCGAUUCCGUAAGUAGCGGCGAGCGAACGCGGAUUAGCCCAAACCAAUAAAGUUUUCUUUAUUGGGGAUGCUGACAUAUCAUAACGAUGAGGUAUCGUAAUUGAAUAGGUUUGGAAAGACCCACCUCAUAAGGUAAUAGUCCCGUAUGUUAAACGAGAAGACUU
rnacentral:rRNA from 1 species